UAAUACUCCAUAGAUUAGAGACACUGGAAUGUUCUUUAGUCGAAAGUUCCGGCGCCCUAGGAUGGAUCUGCGGCCGAUUAGGUUGUUGUUGGGGUAAUGGCCCAACAAGCCAGUAAUCGGUACGGGUUGUGGGAGCAAGAGCCCGGAGUUGGAUUCUGAGACACGAAUCCAGGCCCUACGGGGCGCAGCAGGCGCGAAAACUUUACAAUGCGGGCAACCGUGAUAAGGGAACCUCGAGUGCCUGUAAAUGCAGGCUGUUCAGAUGCCUAAAACACAUCUGGAGAAAGGGCCGGGCAAGACCGGUGCCAGCCGCCGCGGUAAUACCGGCGGCUCGAGUGGUGGCCACUUUUAUUGGGCUUAAAGCGUUCGUAGCUGGGUUGUUAAGUCUCUUGGGAAAUCUGGCGGCUUAACCGUCAGGCGUCUAAGGGAUACUGGCAAUCUUGGAACCGGGAGAGGUGAGGGGUACUUCGGGGGUAGGAGUGAAAUCCUGUAAUCCUCGAGGGACCACCUGUGGCGAAGGCGCCUCACCAGAACGGCUUCGACAGUGAGGGACGAAAGCUGGGGGAGCAAACCGGAUUAGAUACCCGGGUAGUCCCAGCCGUAAACUAUGCGCGUUAGGUGUAU
rnacentral:rRNA from 1 species